GGAGAGGUGGCUGAGUGGUUGAAGGCACACGCCUGGAAAGCGUGCGUACUCUAACGGGUAUCGAGGGUUCGAAUCCCUCCCUCUCCGCCA
rnacentral:tRNA from 3 species